rnacentral:rRNA from 1 species
GCGACCCCAGGUCAGGCGGGGCUACCCGCUGAGUUUAAGCAUAUCACUAACCCAGACGA